rnacentral:rRNA from 1 species
CCUACGGGAGGCAGCAGUGGGGAAUAUUGCGCAAUGGGCGAAAGCCUGACGCAGCGACGCCGCGUGAGGGAUGACGGUCUUCGGAUUGUAAACCUCUGUCAGCAGGGAAGAACGGUCACUGUGCUAAUCAGCAGUGAAUUGACGGUACCUGCAAAGGAAGCACCGGCUAACUCCGUGCCAGCAGCCGAGGUAAUACGGAGGGUGCGAGCGUUAAUCGGAAUUACGGGGCGUAAAGGGCUCGUUGGCGGUAUGUCAAGUCAAGGGUGAAAUCCCCGCGCUCAACGUGGGAACUGCCGUUGAAACUGGCAAACUGGAGUGUGUGAGAGGCUAGUGGAAUUCCAGGUGUAGGAGUGAAAUCCGUAGAUAUCUGGAGGAACAUCAGUGGCGAAGGCGACUAUCUGGCACAUAACUGACGCUGAGGAGCGAAAGCGUGGGUAGCAAACAGGAUUAGAUACCCGUGUAGUC